UAUGCAGAUGUUUAAAAAUAGCUUUCGUAUUAUGUAUACUUUGUCAUCCGUUUUAUCUGGAGAUCUAGAUAUGAUCGAUUUUAAACCGAAGGUUGUCUCCGUAGUAGCUGGCAGAAAGCCAAUGUUUAUUCAUAUAAAAGAGAUGUUUAUUGAUUUGGCCGCAAAGUAAUCUUGUUGCGGAUCCUAUAGCAUCUUACAACGAACUACAUUAUAUUGCAAGCCAUGGAUAAUAAGGAAUGGAGGGCUUCUUUUUUGGUAAAAGAAAAGCAUUAUGCGCCGGAAAUGAACAAAUUACCAGAAGAUCCAAAGAAACAGAAGCGUUCUUGGUUUAUUGGACGUAGAACGAGUGUUGACAGUGUUGGUAAUGAUCGACGAGCCAGUAUCGACGGCGACACUCGGGAUAGACGAGCAAGCGUAAGUAGUGUUGAGGAUGCACCUGUUGGUUCGCCGAUCAUGUCAUCAGUUUUACAGGGACAAUUUCAAGCCAGAACUACACCUCAAGCCAUCCAAGAUACCAAAAAGAUGUUCCGCGAAUUUGACUUCAAAUGAUAAGAACCAGUGAAAUAUAAGAAUGGAAAAUACUUUGAAUGAUUCAUGUUCAUGGACGGUGCUCACAAUUCCCAAGUGUAAAUGUUUUCAUGAAUCAGUGUCUAUGUUCAUCUUCACGACUGGAACUGUACUGAGUUCUCCAGUGUCAAUUCUAAAAUCACCGAACUAGUUGUGUCUUAAUUUAUCAUAUCAUUAGUCAGGGAAAAAAAACCAAAUGUGAAUAUUCAAUAACCGAAAACUGUACUGUAAAUGUAUUCCUGAAUCAGUGCCUAUGUUCAUCUUCACUGCAGGAACUCUAUUGAACUUUCAAGUGUUAUUGCUUAAAUCACAGAAUUAUUUGUGACUAAACAUAAAAUAUCAUUGGUCAGGGACAACAAAAUAAAUUGUGAAUAUUCAAAAACCAAAAACUGCAAGUGCAAAUGUUUUCCUUAAUCAGUAUCUAUGUCCAUCUUCACGACGGGAAUUGUAGUGAGUUCUACAGUAUUAUUAGUAUUUCUUAAAUCACCGAAUUAGUUGUGACUAAAUAAACUGUAUCACUAGUCUGCGAAAACAAAAUGAUUGUGAAUAUUCACGACGGGAACUCUGGCGAGUUUUCCAGUGUUACUUCUUGAAAAAAACACUGAAUUGCUUGUGACAAAAUAUAUUAAAUUAUGAGUGAACAAAAACAAAAUAAAUUGUGAAUAAUUGACACUUCAGUAUAAAUGUUUUCCCGAAUCAGUGUAUAUGUUCAUCUGCACGACGUGAAAUAUAUUGACUUCUAGGUUGUUGUUUCUUAAAAUGACUUGUGAAAAAAUAUAUUAAAUUAUGUGUAAAAAAAAUAAAAAUAUAAUUGUGAAUAACUAAAACUAGAAAGAUAGAUAAUAUAUGUUAUUGUUAAAACAAAAUGUAUAUAUAUAUGUAUAUUAUUUUAUUGUUUUUAGAUGACUGUGAAUAUAUAACUGCAUUUCCAACGUUA